AACGCACAUUGCGCCCGCCAGCAUUCUGGCGGGCAUGCCUGUUCGAGCGUCAUUUCAACCCCUCAGGCCCUGGCGCCUGGUGUCGGGGCCUCUCCCUCGCGGGAGAGCCCUCAGAAUCAGUGGCGGACCCGCCGCGGCUCCGAGCGCAGUAGUUUCUUAAUUCUCGCUAGGGAGGCCCGCGGGGGACAUCCGGCCGUAAAACCGGGCACUAGCCCAACCCCACAAGGUUGACCUCGGAUCAGGUAGGAAUACCCGCUGAACUUAA
rnacentral:misc_RNA from 1 species